CGGAACGGGUGAGUAAUGCGUGACCAACCUGCCCCAUGCUCCAGAAUAGCUCUUGGAAACGGGUGGUAAUGCUGGAUGCUCCAACUUGACGCAUGUCUUGUUGGGAAAGUGUUUAGUGGCAUGGGAUGGGGUCGCGUCCUAUCAGCUUGUAGGCGGGGUAAUGGCCCACCUAGGCUUCGACGGGUAGCCGGCCUGAGAGGGCGGACGGCCACAUUGGGACUGAGAUACGGCCCAGACUCCUACGGGAGGCAGCAGGG
rnacentral:rRNA from 1 species